rnacentral:rRNA from 1 species
GUCGAACGAGAGACCUUCGGGUCUCUAGUGGCGAACGGGUGAGUAACACGUAUGGAACCUGCCCGCGCACCGGGAAUACGCUCUGGAAACGGAGAACAAAUCCCGAUGUACAGGAAGGAGGCAUCUUCUUUCUGUGAAACAUCCUUUAGGGGAUGGGGCGCGGAUGGACCUGCGGUGCAUUAGUUUGUUGGCGGGGUAAAGGCCCACCAAGACGAUGAUGCAUAGCCGGCCUGAGAGGGCGGACGGCCACAUUGGGACUGAGACACGGCCCAGACUCCUGCGGGAGGCAGCAGUAGGGAAUUUUCGUCAAUGGGCGCAGGCCUGAACGAGCGAUGCCGCGUGAGUGAAGAAGGCCUUCGGGUCGUAAAGCUCUGUUGCGGGGGAAAAAAGGCAGCAUCAGGAAAUGGGUGCUGACUGAUGGUGCCCCGCCAGAAAGUCACGGCUAACUACGUGCCAGCAGCCGCGGUAAUACGUAGGUGGCGAGCGUUAUCCGGAAUGAUUGGGCGUAAAGGGUGCGCAGGCGGUCCUGCAAGUCUGGAGUGAAACGCAUGAGCUCAACUCAUGCAUGGCUUUGGAAACUGGAGGACUGGAGAGCAGGAGAGGGCGGUGGAACUCCAUGUGUAGCGGUAAAAUGCGUAGAUAUAUGGAAGAACACCAGUGGCGAAGGCGGCCGCCUGGCCUGUUGCUGACGCUGAGGCACGAAAGCGUGGGGAGCAAAUAGGAUUAGAUACCCUAGUAGUCCACGCC